rnacentral:rRNA from 1 species
AGAGUUUGAUCAUGGCUCAGGAUGAACGCUAGCUACAGGCUUAACACAUGCAAGUCGAGGGGAAACGACAUCGAAAGCUUGCUUUUGAUGGGCGUCGACCGGCGCGCGGGUGAGUAACGCGUAUCCAACCUGCCCACCACUUGGGGAUAACCUUGCGAAAGUAAGACUAAUACCCAAUGACGUCUCUAGAAGACAUCUGAAAGAGAUUAAAGAUUUAUCGGUGAUGGAUGGGGAUGCGUCUGAUUAGCUUGUGGCGGGUAACGCCACAAGGCGACGAUCAGUAGGGGUUCUGAGAGGAAGGUCCCCCANAUUGGAACUGAGACACGGUCCAAACUCCUACGGGAGCA